rnacentral:sRNA from 1 species
GCAGAACGAAAUCGGCGCCGCCAAGCUA